rnacentral:misc_RNA from 1 species
GAGUCUACGACUCUUAACUGAUAACAUGUCUCAAAACGAACCAAAACCCAUAUUUGGAAUGUCUACGCGCAGUGAUCUGCAUAAAUACGAAUCCAAAAGCUCCCAAAACAACAGCAUAAAGAGACUUAGUAGAUGGUGCAAUGCAACCAUCUAAUCCAAAUCUGAUGAAGAGGACGAUUCAGAGUAGAUGGACUCAUCAUCAGAUUCACCCUCGGUACUAUCGUCAUCCGAGGAAUAAAUUAGGUCAUCAUGGUCAUCGAUCCAAGGUUUCUGAAAGUUUACAAGAUUUUUACAUCUUGCCUCGAGAUCACCCUUCAGCUCCACAUUCCAACACCCUUGGAUUUCAAGGUGUGUUAGUGCCUUACACUGGGUGAGAAUAGCCUCAACGCCAGUAUCACUCAACCGGUUGAAAGCAUAGUCAAGGC